CUACGGAGGGUGCAAGCGUUAAUCGGAAUUACUGGGCGUAAAGCGUACGUAGGCGGUUGGUUAAGUUAGAUGUGAAAGCCCCGGGCUUAACCUGGGAACUGCAUUUAAAACUGGCGAACUAGAGUUGAGUAGAGGGGAGUGGAAUUUCAGGUGUAGCGGUGAAAUGCGUAGAGAUCAGAAGGAACACCAGUGGCGAAGGCGACUCCCUGGACUCGAACUGACGCUGAGGUACGAAAGCGUGGGUAGCAAACGGGAUUAGAAACCCGAGUAGUCC
rnacentral:rRNA from 1 species